GAUGAACGCUGGCGGCGUGCUUAACACAUGCAAGUCGAACGGUGAAGGCGGAGCUUGCUCUGCUGGAUCAGUGGCGAACGGGUGAGUAACACGUGAGCAAUCUGCCCCUGACUCUGGGAUAAGCGCUGGAAACGGCGUCUAAUACUGGAUACGAGCUGCGAAGGCAUCUUCAGCAGCUGGAAAGAAUUUCGGUCAGGGAUGAGCUCGCGGCCUAUCAGCUUGUUGGUGAGGUAAUGACUCACCAAGGCGUCGACGGGUAGCCGGCCUGAGAGGGUGACCGGCCACACUGGGACUGAGACACGGCCCAGACUCCUACGGGAGGCAGCAGUGGGGAAUAUUGCACAAUGGGCGAAAGCCUGAUGCAGCAACGCCGCGUGAGGGACGACGGCCCUCGGGUUGUAAACCUCUUUUAGCAGGGAAGAAGCGAAAGUGACGGUACCUGCAGAAAAAGCGCCGGCUAACUACGUG
rnacentral:rRNA from 1 species